AUAGGUAAAAUAUGGAUUAUAAUUUUGUGAAAAUACAGCUGUUUCAAACUAAUUAAUUGCCUUUUCAUAAAAAACACUCCUGAAGAAGUCGACAUACGACGAAACGCGUUGAGUGUAAAAAUCUUUUAUUGUUUGGAAAAGUUGUUAUUAAAUUUUUUGGCUGUAAUGAACAAUAACACAUUGUAAAAGUGUACAUCAUUUUUUAUCAGUAUUGAAAUUUAAUUAUUUUAGCAAUAAAAAGCAAUAGAUGUUUUAAAGUUUAAA